UUGUUUGACUUUUUGACAUAUAUUUCUAAACCUUUUGAUCGCAUAAUUAAAAUUAUUAUUCGUAUAUUUUUAUUUUGUUUUUCUUUAAAAAAAUAAUAAUUUUAACAAUACGUGUAAAAAGUUCACGAGGAUUAAAAUUAUUUGAUGUCUAUUUAAAAAAUUGAGAAUUAAAAGAAAAAAGCUGCAAAUCUCGCAAAAUGUACCCAAAUAAGGAAAAAAUGACCGGUCAUUAAGAUUGGAUAAUCUAACUUUGAAUUUCGGAGAAAAACGCUAGAUCGUGUAGCAUUUUAUUCUUUUAAUCCUAAUAACUAGCACUAAAAUACUACAUGAAAUAUGCAUUUAACUCUUAUAAUAUAAUGUUUUUUAUAAAUAUGCAUGUUAUGAAUAUUAUGAUCGGAUAUUGUGAUAACGGGCCAAACACCCCGAUUUAACGAAAGGCGACAAUCGGAGAAGGAAGAGUACAGUACGAGUUUGGAAGCCAAAACAAACUAAAAAUCCUGAGAUGAUGCAAGGGACCUUCUUAACCGAGAAAUUGAUUUUCCUAUCAAAAGCAACUCUGAUGAAUUGGUUAUUGGUCAUGCGGGAGCAGUUGGAAUACACGGCGGUUGUUUUACAUUUUGAGCGCCUAACUCCUGAUUACAGUAGUGCUUGGCUGAGAACAGCUCACUUGGUUGAUGUAUCCUGGAAGAUGAAUUCCGGGAUAUCUUUUGUUCAAUGGCGUGGACUGCAGUCCCUUUCUCAGAUUCGGUAGCUAGGGAGCAUUUGGUAAAAAUUUCAUUGCCUCUGAAUCUGGAGGUUUCAAUGCUCCAUCCUCAAUUUUGAUCAGCAAAACUGGUGUGAUUAUGCAACACAAUGCCGCUUCACUCUUCCAAGCGUGUGGAGCUGCAGGUUAUCCUUUUUCUAAACAAAAAACAGAAAGCCUUAUUUCCCCAAUAUAGCACGAUAUCAUCCAUCUCUCAGGGCUCUUUUGGCCUCCCCUCAACGUGACUAUCUCAUCAAUAAUUAAGGGCGCGAGGUGAAUAUUAGUGACCUUGAAGAUAAGACAGUGAAAUUGUAUCUUUAUAAAUCGGGUUGUACCAAAGCUUUGACGGCCCAACUUAGGGAUGCAUACAAAGUCUUGGUCGAAGAAGAAAAAAUGAAGUUGGAGGUUGUGCUUGUUUAUAUAUAUGACUCCUGGAAUAUACUUGGGCGAACAAAUGAAGAAUCUUUCAUGGAAGAAUUUGGGACAAUGCCUUGGUUGGCCUUCCAUUUAGAGACGCAGACUGUAAGAAGGUUCAACGUGUGUAUUUAUAUCCGUUUGAGUUGGGAGGAACAUAGCCAGAUCCUUCACUUGUUGUCAUUGGACCAUUUGGAGAUACGUUGAACCAUUUGGUGCCAGUGAUGUACUGAUGAAGUUUGGUUCUCGAGGGUAUCCUUUUACACGCAAACAGUGUUGAAAUAUAGCAUAAGAUCCAUUUGAGGCUUUCUUCUAACACCUUAAGGUUAGAUGGACUAGUUCUCAACAUGUUAUCAGAGUUCAAAUUCGGCGGAAGUCUCUCGUGAUCCACUCUUCAACCCGCUAAAUGGGAUUUUAAGUGAGGGGGAGUGUUGAAAUAUAGCAUAAGAUCCGUUUGGGGUCUUCUUCUAACACCUUAAGUUUUUAGAUGGACUGGUUCCCAACAAACAUGUCUUCAUUUGCAAAUUGAGAACAUUAAGAAGGUGAACCUUGGUAUGUUAUGGGAUCCAGAACCUGUCUUUAUCCGAGGAUGUGGUUCAGAGGUGAUGUUUUUAUUUUCCAUGCAGGUUCCUUAUUCUGAUAUUGUCUGCAAGAGAGUUGUUUUAUCCUGUGAUGCUGUACAAAAUGAGUUGUACAUGCGGUUCAAGAUCAAGCUCCAAGAAGAGUACCAAAAAAAGAAAGGUCAGAGUGUCACAGCGUGAUGAGUUUGAGGUAAUCCACAUUGGUUCGAGGAAGGGAGAAGAAGUAUCAUGGUCGACCCUGCAUCCCAAUUACCCAUACAAGGACUCAACUGUGAUAAAAAUAUUGCAUGAUAUAUUCCAUUAUGGUUAUGGAUCCUGGUUUUUUAUCAUGAUGGGAAGGUUGUGAGGGCAACCUCCAAUCCUCACAUUGAAUUAGAGGAUGUGUUUCCUCUCCAUUUUGUCUUUUCGAAUCGGAAGUUGGCUAGCUCACGUACCGCUUUAAUGGGCGAACAGCCCAACCCUCGGAUACGCAUGUAGUCGGCCCAGAAUGCCUCUGUUUUACUGAUACAGAGGUGUUCCAUUGGGACUACUGGGGCUAAUGGAGACUGACUUCUGCAUUGCACCUUAAUACAAUACUUAUGUACAACAAGGACUAAUAUUCUGAUAAAUUGUUGCUUUUGUCAAGUAUUUGUGCAUUUUGAUAUCUAAAGUUUAAGUUAUUAUUUGCUGGU